rnacentral:lncRNA from 1 species
GUGUGUGUGGUGUGCAUGUAUAUGAUAUAUCCAACAAAUGACUCAUUACAUAAUACAUAAAAGCUUUUACAAAUCAGUAAGAAAAAACUGAUAAACCAAUGUAAAAAUGAGCAAAAGACUUACAGGCACGUCAUAACAAAGGCUAUCCAAACGUCCAAUGAGUAAAUAAAAGUGCUUAACCUCAAUAGUCAUUAGAGAAAUGCAAAGUAAGACCACAGUGAAGUACCACUAUACACUCAUGAGAAUGUCUAAAAUGAAAAAGCCAGACAAAGAUAUGGAGGAAAUAGAACCCUUACACAUUGCUGUUGGGAAUGUAAAUUGAAAGAACUUUUUUUGGAAAACUGUUUUACAAAAUCUGCUAAAGCUGAACCUAUGCAUAGCCUGUAAUCUAGCAGUUUUACUUCUAGUUAAGUACUCACAGAUAUGUAUAUACAUACACCAAAAGAUCUGGACAAAAAUGUUCUUAACAGCGCUAUUACUAAUACCCAGCAAACUGGAUACAAUCUAAUGUCUGCUAACAACAGAAUGGUUAAAUAAAAUGGUAUAGUCAUACAACGGGAUGCUAUAUAGCAAAGUCAAUAAAUAUGCUAUGGUUAUACUCAGUAACACUGAUGAAGCUCAUAAGCAUAAUACUGAGUCAAAGAAGCUAGUCAUAAAAGAGUAUGUAUUAUAUAAUACUAUUUAUGAAAUUUUCAAACUAGCAAAUACUACUUGAUAGUGAGGUCAUUAUACUUUGUGACAACUCAUUAACUGGUACACUAAUGAUUAUGCCCAUAUUGGCAUAUAUGCUAUACUUUAAACAAUUGUAGUCACUUUUAUGCAUACCUAAUUAGAGUUUUAAAGUACGCCUUUGAUAUGUAUUGAUAAUACUGCUAUGUUCAUUGGUCAAAAAGAGUACAAUUAUAUCCAAAUUGGCCCACAAUAUAAAAUAACAUUUCAACGAUUUGGCAUUGGAAUAUGAGACAAUAAUGCAGCAGAAACUGAAGCUAUGGUUAUAAUCUUAUUGGCAGUACAUUUUAGGAAUAAAAGCAUCACCCAUGCUACUGGAGUGCAUGCAGUGCCUUUCAGUUACUCCUGAUAUCCUGCUUCACACUCACAGAUCACAAACAUGUUGACAUUACUGGCAGUGCUAGUAGCUUAGACACUCUUUUUUCCUGCCUGUUAGGUGUCUGUGAUAAGAUAUUGACAGAGUAACCUCAUAGCUUUCACUGGCCUCCUUGCCCAGAACAGCUUUUGAUAUCAAGAGAAGAAAGGCAGCCUACUAAUGUUAAAGAAUUGAGGUUGUAGACCUCAGGUAACUAUUUUCUUCACAUAAUUUCAGUCAUUCUCUUAAUACUAAGUAAAGAAAGGGGUGAUAGUCUUUAAAAAUAGUAUAAUAGAAACUCUACAUAACUAACACUUCAAUGCCUCUUUGCCAACCAUUUGGUCCCAUGGUUACUCUGCCUCAAACUUACCCAUCUUCCUUAUAGAAUAAGUUCCAAUGUAGCUAAUAUGGUGGCAGCAUGAUGCAGUAGAAGAAAGCAGUGCAUCUGGAGUUAUAUAACGCCCUCCAUCCUUAGAGCUUCCGCUAACUAACUGUGUGACUUUAGGCAAAGCUGGGGCUCUAGACCAGAUGGCCUUUAAGCUCCUCUUUUGAUGUGAAAAUGCCAUGUUGUAUAUGUGAUUUUAUUAUGUGAAUUUGAAUACAAACAUAAUCCUGUCUUUACCAUAAGAUUUCACUUAAAGUUUUAGGUGGAUAGUACAGCAAAUCUGCAAUAGAAUUAUUUUUCCUUUCCCUUCCAACAAAAAUUAUGCGGGUUCUUCCUUUCUCCAUUUUCACCUCUGAAUUCCUAAUCACUUUUGAACGUGCUCCUUUAAGCUACAGCAGUGAUCAUGUUAGCAAACAUCUACUGAAUAUCUGUGAGCCAGGCCUUGUUCUAAGUUUCACAUAUCUGAUCUUAUUUAAUGCUUGUAACAACGCUGCUAUCAUUUCUCUCAUUUUGGAAAUGUGGAAAUUGAAGGACAAAAGGUUACAUGAUUUGCCCAGGGUCACAGUCUAGAAAGCAAAGAAGCCAGCAUAUGAUCCAGAAUAUCUGACUCAGGAGCCACAGGGUAAGAAUAUGAUAAAUAUUAACAAUUGCUUCUACCUAGGUUCUUACUUAGCCAAGGACUGUUUCAAAACACAUUAAGUAUGUUACAUGUAACUUCGUAAAAAUUUUGAAAGAUGUGUAUAAUUAUCUCUAUAGUUAAGAUAGGAAAACUGAUGUACAUAAAGUGUAUGUAACUUUCCCAGGAAAGGACAACUAUCAAAUAGCAGAGCCAACAUUUGAACAGCAGCCUUCUUUUUUCUUCAUUUUAUCCUCUUUUUCCCCCCUCUACUUCACAUUUUCCCCUUGCCAUUUCUUUCUGACUCACCUAUUUUUCUACCUUUUUUUUUUGCCUUAAAAUAUAUAAAGCAUCAUGCACUUUACCUCUAACAUAAGGGACAAACUAAAGGCAUACGUGUAAACUAUGACUGAAGAUU